rnacentral:tRNA from 1 species
GAUAGGGUAGCUGAGUGUUAAGCGGUGGUUUGUAGCCCCAUAAACGAAGGUUUAAUUCCUUCUCCUGUCA